rnacentral:lncRNA from 1 species
AUGGAGGCCGCUCCGCACAGCGUCCCGCUGCCCUCCGUGUUUUCCCUGCAGCCUUUUGUGUGCGUGGCGGCGUGGCAGCGCGCGGGUAGGCCGCAUGGCGCCCGGCCUUCCCCACCUCCGUCCUCCUCCCCCCGAUCCCCGCCUCCCUCAGCCGCCAUUUCGCAGCGCCGGCAUCGCCCGCUCUCCACAUCAUGGAGGACCACAGUGCAGGGGGGAAACAAAGAGCCGCGGCCUGCACCACUGCCCCGCGCGUCCCCUCCUGCCGUCUGGGGCAGCAGGGCACUGUACAGGCAUUUAAUAUUCCAUUCCCUUCUCCAUCCCCUCCCUGCGAAGGGGCUUGGCAUCACAAUGCCGUGCAGGUGGGAUGCUCUGAGCCCACGUCCCGCAGCAGGGCUCGGAGCAGGGAGCCAUGCCCCCGGCACGCACGCGGUGAUGGCCAUAGGGACCCACGUGGCGCCCACCCCUGUGGGCUCCUGCCCAGCAGCACAGGGGUCCGUUUUCAAGCUUCCCUCUGUGACUGCAAAGACCAGAGACUGCGAGAACCAAAGUCCUGCACGCAGCAGACCAGGAUGCUUAGAGAAACACUGGGAAGCCACUCUGCAAAGCAAGGCCACGAGCAGAGGAAGCCAACAGGCAGGAAGAGGAUUGACUGUGUUUGUGUUUCUAAACGUGUGCUGCUCCCAGCAUGGGAUGGCAAGUGGGGAAGGAGGACACGGGGGCUGCAGGGGCAAAGUGCCACCAUCACGGUGA